rnacentral:tRNA from 1 species
AUUAUUUUGGCAGAAAAGUGCGUUGGAUUUAGAAUCCUUUUAUGUGGUUGUACCACAAUUAAUA